rnacentral:rRNA from 1 species
AGUGAACGCUGGCGGUAGGCCUAACACAUGCAAGUCGAACGGCAGCACAGUAAGAGCUUGCUCUUACGGGUGGCGAGUGGCGGACGGGUGAGGAAUACAUCGGAAUCUACUUUUUCGUGGGGGAUAACGUAGGGAAACUUACGCUAAUACCGCAUACGACCUACGGGUGAAAGCAGGGGAUCUUCGGACCUUGCGCGAUUGAAUGAGCCGAUGUCGGAUUAGCUAGUUGGCGGGGUAAAGGCCCACUAAGGCGACGAUCCGUAGCUGGUCUGAGAGGAUGAUCAGCCACACUGGAACUGAGACACGGUCCAGACUCCUACGGGAGGCAGCAGUGGGGAAUAUUGGACAAAGGGCGCAAGCCUGAUCCAGCCAUACCGCGUGGGUGAAGAAGGCCUUCGGGUUGUAAAGCCCUUUUGUUGGGGAAGAAAAGCAGCAGGUUAAUACCCCGCUGUUCUGACGGUACCCAAAGAAUAAGCACCGGCUAACUUCGUG